GUAGAUAUUAGAAGAUCAGUGAUUAGCUUUGAAUAAUAGAGAUUGCUAUCUUCUUAACAUUCUAUAUGUGUACUUCACACUACUCUCAUAAUUAUAUCUACAACCAUCUCUUACAAUUCUAAUCACUCUAAACUUUAUUUGAGUGGUCUGUUGUUACACACAUCUAUAAUAAAGCAUGCAACAUUAGUUAAAACAUGCAAUAUUAGUUAAAACACACAAGAUGAUUUCAACACAUAUAAGAUUUUUUGAAAAUCAAUCUGAAUCCUCUAUCAUCUCUGAUGAUCACAAUGUGUGUUUGCAACAGUUGAAUGAUCAAAUCUGUGAAUGAGAGCAGCAAUUAGCUAUUCUACAUGCACAACAACAACUCAAUAAGUUGAAAGUACAGAUUUGUAAAGAUACUCUCAUUGAGUCUCAAUUAAUUCAGAAUAUCACCACAGAACUGUCACAAAAUUGAUCUGUGAACAAUAUAAAUGAUGAUAAUGAAACAUCACUGAGGUUAGAGAUUAAGAACUAUUAUCAAAGAAAAAAUAUAUUAGAAUUCAAGAACUAUAAAGAUUGCAUAUUGACUCUCUUUACAUAUCACUGCUGAUAUUAUUGAAAGAAAGAAUACAAGAUAAAUGAUACUAAACUCUAUUUUAAUAUUCAUAUUAAGCAGAAAUGAUUGAAUUUUGUAUCAUUGUAUGAGAGAUAUGAAGAAGCAACACUGUUGACUUUUAAUAAUAUACUAUCACAUCUAGAAAUACAAAUUAACAAUCCACAGAAUCAACAUUAAUUGAUAAGUUAAAAAUUUCAAAAUACAAAACAAUAAGAAUGACAAUUGAUACACAAUUUCUCUAAAUAUCUUGAAAACUGAGAGUACUAUUUAUCUCUAUAUAGUGAAGAACAAAGAAUGGAUAACUUGUAUAGUAAGAUAUUGAAGAUAUUACACACUGAAUUUGACUGUCAAAAUCAAGAGCCUCAGAACUAUAAAGAGUUGCUUUGAACUCUAUAGACUUUCAAGAAAAAUAUAUCAGAGCAACAGCAUGUUAUUUGCAAAAAAAGAUCUGCAAUAUUUGUAGAGAAUCAGCAUUGUUCUGAUAAAUCUAGCAACUGUUGAAACAAAAAAAAAUGAGAGAAACAAACAGAUUCAACUGAACAAAUCAAGAA
rnacentral:sRNA from 1 species